rnacentral:rRNA from 1 species
UACGGGGGGGGGCAAGCGUUUGUUCGGAAUUACUGGGCGUAAAGGGCUCGUAGGUGGCCAACUAAGUCAGACGUGAAAUCCCUCGGCUUAACCGGGGAACUGCGUCUGAUACUGGAUGGCUUGAGAUUGGGAGAGGGAUGCGGAAUUCCAGGUGUAGCGGUGAAAUGCGUAGAUAUCUGGAGGAACACCGGUGGCGAAGGCGGCAUCCUGGACCAACACUGACACUGAGGAGCGAAAGCCAGGGGAGCAAACGGG